ACCUGUUUAUUGAGUCCCAGCACGUUACUUACCUGUUAAUUGAGUCCCAGCAUGUUACAUACCUGUUUAUUGAGUCCCAGCAUGUUACUUACCUGUUAAUUGAGUUCCAGCAUGUUACGUACCUGUAUAUUGAGUCACAACUCAUUACGUACCUGUUUAUUGUUUCAACAUGUUACGUACCUGUUUUGUGAGUCCAAGCACAUUACGAACCUGUUUAUUGAGUCUCAACAUGCACAGCACACGUUUGAAUGUGAGAUACACAAAUUUGUUCAAAUAUAUUUGCCUCUCAUCCAGUCGGAAGUUCCUGGAUAAAGUUGUUGCCAAGAGAAUCUUCUACAUUGCUGCCAUAACUGGAAACAAACCUAUAGCAUAGAUUAUAUUUAAUAUGAUAUUACUAUAUAAUUGGAAAAACAAACUGAAAACACCAAAUACUGCAUGGUCACCCACAGUUGAGGAACAAAGAUUGCUUUGAAUCAGAAGGUCGCCUUGGUGAUGUGGGAACAUGUUCACCAUGAUUGUCCCUGAUGCACAGUACAGCUAUUGCUGUUAUUUUCUGGACAGAAGAAGAAGUGUACUCCUUUGGAAACCAGACUAAAGGGCAUCCAGGGUGACACAAAAAAGAUCCCAUGAAGUCAGGGAAAGUCCCCGUCAUGGGGGAGGAUCCUUCUGUAGUGGUUUCCCUGUCCUGUAGUCAUGGAAACACUCCAGAUCUAUGCAACAACUAUAAAUAGAGAGGAAAUUUAACAUUGGCCAGGAUUUAAUUAUCACAAUUAAGAACCAAGUCCUCAGAGAUUUCACAAAACAUGAGUCCAGAUCCACACAUACACCCUGUUUUAUGCAACACACCAGUACAUAUACCAAGAAGAGAAAAUAAACUGUUUUUUUAGCUACGACAGUCUGGAGUCACCAGUGUGUUGGAAUUUCAGAGCUGUCCAGGGGAUGGGACUUCAUGAAGGAUAGACAAUGUGUACAUGUAAUACAUGGUACAAUGUGAUUAUUUUGAUAUACCAAGUGCUGUUUAAAAAAGUAUAAUAAUCUUAAUUCAUCCAAUUCAAAUUUUAUCAUUUUUCAGAAAUAUCUUUAUUUCACAUAUGUGUACAAGCUCGUAUAUGCCUUUGUGCUAAAUUUUCAUUUGAUAUAAGAAACUACAACAACAUUUAUAUGUACAUAUCAAUGAUAUUUAGAAAAUUUUCACACUAAUAAUAUGCAAAUGGUUUAGUGUGCAAUAAAAAUCUGUACUUUAAAAAAAGGGUUAAUUGUCUUCAUUAGUUGAUAUCAUGCUGGAUUUCUCAACUUACUUUGUCUUAGAUGUUACAAAAUUACAGACUGACUCAGAGGUGGAAAUUUGAAGUCAUGUUUUAAGGAGGUCGAUUUGGGGUUUUUUGUGUGUAAAAACUACAAUUGCAAAACUUUCUAUUUUUUAACCAUAAUUAUUAUGUAAUAUAAACCAACUCUAGUAUAUUUGAGAAGUUUCCAGAAAAUCUACCAUCUGGUUCCUUUUGGGGGCCAUCUCAAAAUACAGGUACAUUUACUAUAGGAAUCUAUAAGAAAUUCUCAAUUUCUGCACUUUGAAACAGAUUUUAAAAAACACGAUAGCUAUUUUCCUCAAAUAGUUAUUUAUCAUAGUAAUAUCAUUUUCUACUUUAUAUGUGAAAAAUACUAAAUUCUACCAACUGGUUUUUAAUAAGGGUCAACUCAAAUUAUCAAAAUACAACAAAAUUUGCUAUAUAUUUAGCGUUUCACAUUAGAUUGGUUCAAUGGAUUCCUUAAAAAAUUUAGGUACCCAGAGGAAUAGCAUGAUUUCUGGGUGUAAAAUUUUAAAAGCGUAUACUUUUUCUUUUAUGUUAUUUCUUAUAACGUACUCCUACAAAGCUAUAUUUCAUCAUAACGUCAUAAAAUCACAAUGGCAAUGCUCCCCUACUGAACGGAAAAAUUGUUUAAGAAAGUUUUCUUUUAAAAAUCUUAAUAUCUUUAUCUGUUUUUUCUAUUGUUUUCAAUUUCAUAAAUAAGAUUAAAACAAUUUCUUAAAAAGUAUAAAUACACCGUAUUUUACUAGAUUCCACAAAAACAUGUGUAAUGAAACCUAAAGUCAGCCACCUUAAAUUUUCUGUGUAAUCCUUUAAUAUACUGUAUUAUGAUAACAAAAAUUUUCUUAAUCAUUUUUUAACUUCCUGAGUAUAU